UCUCCCGUAACUCAGUGCGUAGAGCGUCUGACCGGUGUGCAGAGGGUCAUAGGUUCAACUCCUGUUGCGAGAA